AGAGCAGUGUUCUGAGCUUGAUUAGCUACACAGUCAGGUGACUUAAAUGGGGAGGGGUCUGAGUACAGUGUCAGAAAUACUACAGGAAGCUCAAAACGAAGACUAAAAGUCAGGGACCCAGAUCAAGAGAAUCAGGAAAUUGUUCAAAGAAAAUGGCUGUUACCUGUGACCUGUUUUUAGGCUUCCUGUUUUAUUUAUUUAUGUUCUUUUUUGGGAGAAGAAAGAGAAACGGGGAGAAGGAAGAGGAGUAGAAGAUGCAGAGGUAGAGUUUAACAAUGGAAAGAGAGAGAAGGUGAGGAAUGAAGCUGGUACCUGGCCAGGAACUCAAGAAUGGAUAGAUAAGUCAGUUCCCAAUAAGGUUUGUUAUGACUGAGGUAAGAGUGGCAGAAAUCUGGCACUUGAACCCAGCCUGCAUCUUCUCCAUCCUGCUUCUGUGCUGCUGAGUCUGGCUCCAGGUUUCGGGGAUGGCUAGUGUGUCUCACUAGGUCCACACUUUGGGAUUGUGCAUCAUCAUGUGGUGCUGGAAAGAGAUGUUUCAGGGAGCAUACUACAGAGUGCAGACAGAGUCCAAACAGCAGGUGCAGGGGCAAGGAUUCUGAGAGCAAGACGCUGGGCAACUGGAAGUGUGGCUGUGCGGAGACCACAAGGACAGAAGAAGCUGGGUCCAUCUCUGAAGGACUCCAGUUGGGUUCUCUGUAAAUUAGUCUUAAGAAUCCCAGGGCAAGAGAUGCUGCAGACCAGAACAAACUCCACCAAGAACUCAAGUCAAGAACACAGCAUUUUCCCUCUUAGCUGACACUUGUCAAACUAUGCUGGUUGCUACUACAGCUGGCUUCCCUUGAACAUAAAUUCAACCCAAGACAACACACUAGGAAGACCCAUAGUUUUUAAAAUAUGCAAAAAGCAAGCAAAACAAUGGGAAAAAAGAAGAGUUAAAAAGCUGAGGAUACAUACACCCCGGUAGAUGCCUGAAACACAGCAAAGAAACACAAGCACACACUCACACCACACACACAUAUACAAAUAUGCACAUACCUAUCACAUACUCACAGAAAACAACUAGAAUAUAAAGAAAGGAACAUCAUUAAAAUAAUAAUGCUAUGUGUUGGGAUCAGUAAGCAGGCACUUCUACAGGCAGCCCCAUAGACCGGUUAUCAGGCAUUUGCGAAGACACCCUGACCACCUGGAAUUAUCUGUGCAUGCCCUUGAUCACCCUAUAAGAGAACUGGAACCCUCCCCUCUUCUCUCUUCUUCUUCCUCUUCCACUCCCUGAUACUCUCUCUUUAUCUCUCUUCCUCUCUUCUUCUCCUCUCUCUCCCUCUCUCUCUUCCUUUCUCUGUCUCUGCUCCCCUCACCCCCUUCCCUUAAUAAACCUCCCAUGUGGAACUGA